rfam:Gossypium arboreum cultivar AKA8401 contig_26328_1, whole genome shotgun sequence.
UAUUAAAAAUUUCAUCCAUAUCUAUUGUUAAAAACAGGUUUGGCUCAUAAAAUAACUAUACAGUUAUAUAUGACGUGCCAAGUGUACCUCAUUCUGACAUACAUGAGUUAAUUUUUAAUAGUAGAAAGGGAUUGAAUUUUUAAUA